GACGAACGCUGGCGGCGUGCCUAAUACAUGCAAGUCGAACGCAGUGGGGACGGGUGAGUAACACGUGGGUAACCUCCCAUCAGAGGGGAUAACACUUGGAAACAGGUGCUAAACCGAUACUGAUGGAUGGACCCGCGGUGCAUUAGCUAGUUGGUGGGGUAACGGCUCACCAAGGCCACGAUGCAUAGCCGCCCCAGGAGAGUAGUCGCACACACUGGGAAUGAGACACGGCCGAGGAUCCUACGGGAGGCAGGCGGAGGGAAUCUUCGGCAAUGGACGAAAGUCUGACCGAGCAACGCCGCGUGAGUGAAGAAGGUUUUCGGAUCGUAAAACUCUGUUGUUAGAGAAGCGGGAUCUAACCAGAAAGCCACGGCUAACUACGUGCCAGCAGCCGCGGUAAUAC
rnacentral:rRNA from 1 species